AUUGAACGCUGGCGGCAUGCCUAACACAUGCAAGUCGAACGGGGCAGCAAUGCCUAGUGGCGGACGGGUGAGGAAUACGUAGGAAUCUGCCCUUAAGUGGGGGAUAACCAGGGGAAACCCUGACUAAUACCGCAUGACCUCUUCGGAGCAAAGAGGGGGACCGCAAGGCCUCUCGCUUCUGGAUGAGCCUACGUCUGAUUAGCUAGUUGGUAGGGUAAAGGCCUACCAAGGCGACGAUCAGUAACUGGUCUGAGAGGAUGAUCAGUCACACCGGAAAUGCGACACGGUCCGGGCUCCUACGGGAGGCAGCAGUGGGGAAUAUUGGACAAUGGGCGCAAGCCUGAUCCAGCAAUGCCGCGUGUGUGAAGAAGGCCUUCGGGUUGUAAAGCACUUUAGCCUGGAAAGAAAAAACUUUGGUUAACACCCAAAGUCUUGACGGUACCAGGAGAAUAAGCACCGGCUAACUCUGUGCCAGCCGCCGCCGUAACAC
rnacentral:rRNA from 1 species